GUCCGUGUAGCGCAAUGGAUAGCACAUUGGACUUCUACUCCAAAGGUUGUGGGUUCGAAUCCCACCUGGGAUG